rnacentral:rRNA from 1 species
CGUAGGUAAUCUACCUUCGGAUGGGGAAUAACAAUCGGAAACGGUUGCUAAUACCGCAUAAUGCAGCGGCACCUAAUGGUGACAGUUGUUAAAGCGGGGGAUCGAAAGACCUCGCGUCUGAAGAGGAGCCUGCGGCGGAUUAGCUAGUUGGUAAGGUAACGGCUUACCAAGGCGACGAUCCGUAGCCGGCCUGAGAGGGCGGUCGGCCACACUGACACUGACAUACGGGUCAG